AUCUGAUUAGAUAGUAUGAAAUAAGAUAAUAUAUCACAAUUCUUAAUAUCAUAAUAUAAAAUAUCAAUCAGACAAAAGUAAUAAUAAAAUUGUUAUUUCAUAAUUACAGUUAUUACAGCAUUAAUUUAAAGUAUUUAAAUAAAAAUAAAAUAGGAAAUUUGAAAUAAUUAAAAAAUGGGUAUCAAACCAUUCCGUGCUCAAAUAUCAGUACAAAAAAAUUUAUCUAAGAGAUCAAUUAUGCUUCAGUUUUAUCGAAAAAUAUCACAAACUGAUUCUACCAUGCAAAAAAAUAUAAAUAAUAAUUUUAAGAAAUCUGUUAAUGUUGAUAUCAAACAAAAUAAAUCUUCAUCUUAAUAUAAAAAUAAGGAUCGUAUCGUUUUUGAUAUCCAUGUACUUGAACGCUUGUUAAUUGUCCUUCUUGUUGCAUUCUAUAAUAAGCACGUAUGUAUAAAUAAUUAAAAUAAUUUCAAAUUUUUAUAUGAUUAUAAGAAGCAAAUUAUUAAACUUACGUAUAUGUACGAGGUAUAAAAGAUAAUAAUGCUCCAUCAUUAUGAUCAUUCGAAAAUCUAAGUUGUGCUAAAUUAUGUAAAAAGAAAUUAAAUUGUGUAAACCAACUUUUGAGUGAACUUUCUAUCAUUCGAGCAAAUGUUGCAGCUGCUUCAGGAUUUGUUUGCUCUGGAAGAAGAGCUUUUUGUACAUAACUAACUGCAUCCACAGUCACACCAGAAAUACCAGAUGAAGUCAUCUGUGAAUUUGUGUAAUUAUUCAUUUUAGAUUUAUUUACUAAUUCUUUAAUUUCAAUGUCACUAAGUUUUUGUUGUAUAAUACGUAAUUUAUAUAAAUCAGUUAUAUUAUAUAUAUUUUUUUGAGAUAAUAAACCAUCCAUUUUUGUUAAUAU